rnacentral:tRNA from 1 species
GGGGAUAUAGCUCAGUUGGUGGAGUGCUUGCUUUGCAUGUAAAAGACCCUGGGUUUAAUCCCCAGCACCA